rnacentral:rRNA from 1 species
AGUAACGCGUGGAUAACCUGCCUCACACUGGGGGAUAACAGUUAGAAAUGACUGCUAAUACCGCAUAAGCGCACAGUACCGCAUGGUACAGUGUGAAAAGCUCCGGUGGUGUGAGAUGGAUCCGCGUCUGAUUAGCCAGUUGGCGGGGUAACGGCCCACCAAAGCGACGAUCAGUAGCCGACCUGAGAGGGUGACCGGCCACAUUGGGACUGAGACACGGCCCAA